UACGAAGGGGGCUAGCGUUGUUCGGAAUCACUGGGCGUAAAGCGCACGUAGGCGGAUCUUUAAGUCAGAGGUGAAAUCCCAAGGCUCAACCUUGGAACUGCCUUUGAUACUGGGGAUCUUGAGUCCGGGAGAGGUGAGUGGAACUGCGAGUGUAGAGGUGAAAUUCGUAGAUAUCGAGAGGAACACCGGUGGCGAAGGCGGCGAUCUGGACGAUGACUGACGCUGAGACGCGAAAGCGUGGGGAGCAAACAGG
rnacentral:rRNA from 1 species